rnacentral:tRNA from 1 species
GGGCCACUAGCUCAAUUGGUAGAGCAGGCGACUCUUAAUCGUCUGGUUGGGGGUUCGAGUCCCUCGUGGCCCACCA